AAUAAACUAAAGUAUAAUAUAUUUUACCUGGUAGAAGAGAUAACAGUAAUUUAAAAAUUGACAAAUAGUAACUAAUAUCCUUAAAAAAGUUAUAAUUUAAAGAAUAAAAAAAUAUUAAAAAAGGGUUAUUAAUGUAUUUAUUCUUGUAAUUUCUAAAGCACCUUAACAUAAUUUUUAACGAUUUUUUUUUUCAGAAAGACCCUUCAAAAUUUAUAGAGAGGAUAGCGUGUCAUUUAAAGGAAAGUAUGAUAUAUUCAACAUAACGUGUCAUAGUUUUUUGAAAUAUGUAAUUCAAGCAUAAAUUAAUAAAUAAUUCAAUAUGUUUUAUUACCGGUUAUAUCUGCUGAAAUGAUAAAUGAGUUUAGUAGUUUACCCCACAUUUUAAUAAACAUUUGAAUAGUUUUUAUUUUAAAGAAAUAAUUAAAAAUUUUCAGUUUUUAAAAAUAUUUUUGAUAUGUAAUUUAAGGGGAAAAAAAAACUUGAGAAGUCUCUGCCUUUGUAUAGCAUUACACAAACGCAGGAGCAGAGGAAAAAAUAGCACUGCGGCAUCUCUACACUCUGGGGAUUAUCGCGACCCACGUGGUGGUUGCUUCAUUGGGGUUAGUUUCUUCACUUAAAUCUCUCACCUUGAUGUUGAACACAUUCAAAUCAUUAAUCCAUGUGAGUAGAACCAUGUUAGUUUGCCUCAAAAUCCCUUAUUUUCCACUAUGCACAAGUGCACUUGGCAACAAAAUGAAUGAUAAUGAACCUGAGAGUGACACAGAGACAGAGUGGGAAAAAUUGCUCAAACCCUUUGAUCUAAAACAGCUUCAAAGGUCACUCACCCCAAUUAGCCCCUCUCAGCUUUGUAAAUUGUUGGAACUCCCUCUUGACAUUCCCACUUCAAUGGAGCUGUUUGAAAGGGUUGGUUCCCAAAAGGGGUAUUGUCACUCCUUUCAUGUAUACUACGCUUUAAUUCAUAAGCUUGGGGCUGUUGAGGACUUCAAAACUAUAGACAAAUUGUUGAAGCAAAUGAAAGAAGAAGGAAUCGUGUUCAACGAAUCACUCUUUCUUUUGAUUAUGAAGUAUUAUGGCAAGGCUGGUUUGCCUGGCCAAGCAACUAGGCUUUUGUUGGAUAUGUGGAGUGUUUAUUCUUAUAACCCCACAUUUAAAUCUUAUAAUGUUGUGUUGGAGAUUCUGGUUGAUGGAAAUUGUCCCCGAGUAGCGCCUAAUGUUUUCUAUGACAUGUUGAGUAGAGGUGUUUCUCCAACAGUGCAUACGUUUGGGGUGGUCAUGAAAGCCUUGUGUAUGGUUAAUGACGUGGAUUCGGCUUGCUCACUUUUGAGGGACAUGACGAAGCAUGGGUGUGUUCCAAAUUCAGUCAUUUACCAAACCUUGAUUCAUGCUCUUUCUGAAAACAACAGAGUGAAUGAAGCAAUGCAGCUUUUGGAGGACAUGUUUUUGAUGUGUUGUGAGCCUGAUGUUCAGACCAUCAAUGAUGUUAUCCAUGGUCUCUGCAGGGCUAGUCGGAUUCAUGAAGCGGCAAAGUUGCUUGAUCGAAUGCUACUUCGAGGUUUCAGCACUGAUGCUUUAACUUAUGGAUAUUUAAUGCAUGGUUUGUGCACAGCAGGGCAAGUUGAUCAAGCAAGGGCCUUGUUGAACAAAAUUCCCAACCCGAAUACUGUGCUCUAUAAUACACUAAUUAAUGGUUAUGUUGCUAGUGGACGGUUUGAAGAAGCCAAAGAUCUUCUCUACAAUAACAUGGUAAUUGCAGGUUAUGAACCUGAUGCUUACACAUUUAACAUACUGAUUGAUGGAUUUUGCCGAAAAGGACAUUUGGUCACUGCCCUUGAAUUCUUAUACGAGAUAGUAGGAAAAGGCUUUGAGCCCAAUGUGAUCACGUACACCAUAUUGAUUAAUGGUUUCUGCAAGCAAGGCCGAUUACAGGAAGCUGUUGAAGUUGUGAAUGGCAUGUUAGCCAAGGGUCUCAGUCUGAAUACGGUGGGGUACAAUUGCUUGAUCAGCGGUCUGUGCAAAUAUGGGAAGAUUGAAGAAGCUUUACAAAUGUUUGGUGAAAUGUCAGGCAAAGGAUGUAAACCUGACGUUUAUACAUUUAAUUCUUUAAUAUAUGGAUUAUGCAAGAAUGAUAAGAUGGAAGAGGCCUUGAGUUUAUAUCACAACAUGUUCUUGGAGGGUGUUAUUGCCAACACUGUAACAUACAACACAUUGAUUCAUGCUUUUCUUAGGAUAGAUUCAGUUCAACAAACAUUUAAGCUUGUUGAUGAAAUGCUAUUUAGAGGGUGUCCUCUGGAUAAUAUUACAUACACUGGCCUUAUUAAAGCGCUCUGUAAAACUGGGGCAGUUGAAAAAGGGUUGGGGUUAUUCGAAGAAAUGCUUGGGAAAGGGAUUUUUCCUAGUGUUAACUCUUGCAAUAUUCUGAUCAAUGCCUUCUGUAGAAUUGGAAAAAUAAAUGAUGCCUUAAAAUUUCUUCGGGAUAUGAUUCAUCGUGGUUUGACACCAGAUAUAGUCACUUAUAAUUGCCUAAUUAACGGUCUUUGCAAGAUUGGUCAUGUUCAGGAGGCUUUGAACCUUUUUAAUAGGUUACAAGGUGAAGGAAUUCGUCCUGAUGCUAUUACAUUUAAUACACUAAUCAGUAGGCUCUGUUAUGAGGGUUUGUUUAAUGAUGCAUGUCUGCUUUUAUAUAAAGGUGUGGAUAAUGAGUUCAUACCUAAUGACAUCACUUGGUCAAUAUUGAUGAAUUAUCUUCUAAAAGAAAAGGUCAAGAGGAGUAAGGCUUUCUUCUAGUUAAUGGUGGAAAGUGGAGCUUCUUCUCUUUGAAGCCAACAUAUUCUAUCCAGCUCACUUUAUGUUUUGAUUGAAUGGUCUCAUUCGAUUUGUCUGUUGGCAUUCUGAUUAUAAAAUAUUGGCUAUCAAUUUUGAUCGAUUUGCUAUUCUCAUGGGAAAUUUGGACUCUGGCUUUUUUCCAUAAAUUGGUUCUAGAUUUGCAAAUUGUGACUGCUGGUUGGAUUUUGGAGUUUGCACAAGUUCAGAAUGAGGAAAGACUGAUUUUAAGUCAUCACCAAUCUGAUCAAAGUUUUCUGUAGCUGAAGCAUUCACUUCUCAUGUACGUAGUAGUUGAGAGAAAGAUAGCUGGCUGGUUUCACUGCUGAUUAAGAGGUGUCAAAGGUAGAGAAACAAGUUGUCCAAUUACAUGACUCUUUGGAGAGACUUGUGGAUCAAUGUAUGCCAUCAGUGAACUUCCAUGAACUUGAGGUUACAGACAUGGAUGCAACCAAAUAUUUUAUGCUUGUAUCACUGCUACUGCUCUACUGGAAAUGAUGACAGUGGAUCCUUCUAAAUCUUUUUCACACAUCUGUUGCAUUUCCAGCCAUGUUCAAUUCUCCCUGGUGCUUGCACUCUCGCAAUCCAGUACAGCACUUUUUAGUCCCAAUUUACCCUUGUAUUCAAUUUUCCAGGAAUCCAGGUGCCUAAUCAGUAUAAAAUUUUACACCAGCAGUUUCCAGCUUCCAGCAUUACCACCCUAAUUGGUGGCAAUAGCAAUUUCAGUAUCCACAUCAGUUUAGCAAUUUCCUGUUCAGAACCAGAUUCCAAAUGUCAUGUGUUCUGUCUAAUUCAUCUGCUGACAGCCAUGGUGUUCUAUCCCAUUUAUAUGCAGGCAAUAGCAUGACACUGUUAGCACUUAGGUAAAUUUAUCCUCAUUAUGUACAGAUACAUAUACAGUGGUUAUUUUUUCUGUUUUUUUUUUUCCUUUACCAAAUUGAAAUUUAGAUCUGCAUCAAUACAAUAAUGACCCUGUGAUGUAAAUCCUUCCAAAAAAUCACCCAUCCCACACCUAAAUUUCAAAGAUCCACUUCAAUUACCGGUGUAUAUGUAAAACACUAGCGACUUGGAUUCAAGCUGAAAAUUGACUUUUCAAUGGAGGGGUGAGGGUUUUUUUUAUCUGUGCACUAAGUUAUCCCUUAACCAACAAUCAAAUGGUGGGGAUUUGGCUUGCAUAUGCAAUUGAGAUGCUAGAUUUUCUCUUCACUCUUCACCAUGUGUUUCCUCUGAUCAUAUAAUAGAUCAAGUAAUUAGAUUGGUAAAGAAUGUGGACAUAAUAAUGUAGCUUAAUUUGUUGAUUGUAAAUUUGUAAUUCAAUUUGUACCAUUUUUUUUGGAGUGUUUU